CCACAUGAGGUCCUGCCUGACUACAUCAUUAUUGUAUGCAGAUCAACACCAUAAAGUUAAGUACUCUUUUUCUUCAACGUAAUAGAAAUGUGUUUUUUCUCUUUGGUCUGAAACAUUACAUUAAUGCAGUUUUGUUUUCCCUGUCUUUUCUGUAAUAUCACUGCCAUAACCGUGACAAUGGUGAGAGACUGUAAUGAGGACAGCAACAGCUCCAGUGAGGGACCCAAAUGAGGCUGGCAAGGAGAAGAACCAGGUUCGUCAGUGAGGACAGAAGACAGCUCCAGUGAAGAAUCAGCAUUCCACACAAGAAACCAGAACAGGAGGGAGAAUCCAGACUGACAUGUCAUAGGACAGCAGCAGUUUCAAAAAGUCACAACCAGAUGAGACGGCGGCAGAAUCAAUGAUCAGUAAAAUGGGUACAGCAAUAGCGGUAAUGACGGACAAGAGGAUCAUCAGCGAGAACCCAAGUAACAACUGCAACUUUCCAGAGAACUCAUCACAACACAAAAUACAGAGGAAAAGAGGAAGAUGACUGGAUUGUCCCCAAAUGUCCCUCUGCCACAAAUCAAACCCACUCUAUUCACCAGAAUGGUUGCAGCAAACUCAUGGAGUCUUAACCUUGUGCAUAGAGCUCUUUCUUGUAUGUUGCACACUAUCUGGUUUAACAUUGUGCUCGGUGUAGUUAUUUCUUUUGAGUACUUGUAUAUUUCAAUUUAUUUUAAAUGUUUUAAUUUUAAGAUUUGAUAAAGCGGCAUCAGUUGCACUUCUGUCCAUCCUGGGAGAGGGAUCCCUCACAUGUGGCUCUCUCUGAGGUUUCUACAUUUU